UGAUCCUGGCUCAGAACGAACGCUGGCGGCAGGCCUAACACAUGCAAGUCGAGCGCUACCUUCGGGUGGAGCGGCGGACGGGUUAGUAACGCGUGGGAAUAUACCCAGUUCUAAGGAAUAGCCACUGGAAACGGUGAGUAAUACCUUAUACGCCCUUCGGGGGAAAGAUUUAUCGGAAUUGGAUUAGCCCGCGUUAGAUUAGAUAGUUGGUGGGGUAAUGGCCUACCAAGUCUACGAUCUAUAGCUGGUUUGAGAGGAUGAUCAGCAACACUGGGACUGAGACACGGCCCAGACUCCUACGGGAGGCAGCAGUGGGGAAUCUUAGACAAUGGGCGAAAGCCUGAUCUAGCCAUGCCGCGUGAGUGAUGAAGGCCCAAGGGUCGUAAAGCUCUUUCAACUGUGAAGAUAAUGACGGUAGCAGUAGAAGAAACCCCGGCUAACUCCGUGCCAGCAGCCGCGGUAAUACGGAGGGGGUUAGCGUUGUUCGGAAUUACUGGGCGUAAAGCGUACGUAGGCGGAUUAAUAAGUUAGAGGUGAAAUCCCAGGGCUCAACCCUGGAACUGCCUUUAAAACUGUUAGUCUUGAGAUCGAGAGAGGUGAGUGGAAUUCCAAGUGUAGAGGUGAAAUUCGUAGAUAUUUGGAGGAACACCAGUGGCGAAGGCGGCUCACUGGCUCGAUACUGACGCUGAGGUACGAAAGUGUGGGGAGCAAACAGGAUUAGAUACCCUGGUAGUCCACACCGUAAACGAUGAAUGCCAGACGUCAGCAAGCAUGCUUGUUGGUGUCACACCUAACGGAUUAAGCAUUCCGCCUGGGGAGUACGGUCGCAAGAUUAAAACUCAAAGGAAUUGACGGGGGCCCGCACAAGCGGUGGAGCAUGUGGUUUAAUUCGACGCAACGCGCAGAACCUUACCAACCCUUGACAUACUUGUCGCGGAUUCCAGAGAUGGAUUCCUUCAGUUCGGCUGGACAAUGUACAGGUGCUGCAUGGCUGUCGUCAGCUCGUGUCGUGAGAUGCUCGGUUAAGUCCGGCAACGAGCGCAACCCACGUCCUUAGUUACCAGCAUUUAGUUGGGUACCCUAAGGAGACUGCCGGUGAUAAGCCGGAGGAAGGUGUGGACGACGUCAAGUCAUCAUGGCCCUUACGGGUUGGGCUACACACGUGCUACAAUGGCAUCUACAGUGAGUUAAUCUCCAAAAGAUGUCUCAGUUCGGAUUGGGGUCUGCAACUCGACCCCAUGAAGUUGGAAUCGCUAGUAAUCGCGGAACAGCAUGCCGCGGUGAAUACGUUCCCGGGCCUUGUACACACCGCCCGUCACACCAUGGGAAUUGGGUCUACCCGAAGGUGGUGCGCCAACUAUUUAUAGAGGCAGCCAACCACGGUAGGUUCAGUGACUGGGGUGAAGUCGUAACAAGGUAACC
rnacentral:rRNA from 1 species